GGGAGGCCGCAAUUCCUGUUCUAAUUCCAACGCUCCGAAUAAAUGCAUACUAUUAAUGGAUAUCUCAGUCUCCUGUCUCUGGAUUCAGCUUAAUCUGAGAUAAUCAAGAAAAAAGAGAACAAAAAUCGGCUAUCUCUCUCUCUCUCUCUCUCUUAUUUCUGUUAGAGACAAAGAAAGUCGGGAUUAUAUUGCCUUGAGUGGGAGAGAAAGUUAACGUUUCGAGGAAAGAAUGAAAAAUAAGUCCUGAAGGGGUCGGAGACAAAAUGGCUCAUUGGCCACGCGUUCACCUAACUGCGUUACUCGUGGCAGGUCUAUUUCUCCUCUUUCCGAGUCAAACUCAGAGAAAGAAAGAAAGAAAAGGAUCGAGGUUGGGAUUGCUAGCCGGCAGUCACCGAAGAAGAGAAGGAAGAAAGAAUGAGUUGGUUUUAUCCGAUAGAGCGAAUGAGAAAAA
rnacentral:lncRNA from 1 species